UAGUCAACUCUUUGUCUAAUAUUACAAAAUGAAGAAAAGAGAAAAAAAAGUUGACUACUCAGCUGGUGGGACAUCGUCGGUUGGUUGCACUUCAUCGACCCUGAAAAUUAUCCUAUCAUCAAGAUAUUCGAUGCACCGCACUCUAUGGGGAAUCAUAAAUUUGAAAAAUAUGUAAGUAUUCCCUCGCUUCUCACAUAGCUAUAUCAAAACGUCUUCCAUGUCCAUCUCGAGAUUGGGCAGUUCGGAC
rnacentral:lncRNA from 1 species